rnacentral:rRNA from 1 species
AGUGAACGCUGGCGGCGUGCCUAAUACAUGCAAGUCGAACGGAGUGGCGCACGGGCGAGUGAUUUAUAGCUAAUCUGCCCGCCACUAGAGGGCAACAGUUGGAAACGGCUGCUUAUACUCUAUAUUGUAGGUGGAGGGGAUAAUGUAUCAGCUAGUUGGUGAGGUAAUGGCUCACGAAGGCUAUGACGCAUAACUGGUCUGAGAGGAUGAUCCGUCACACUGGAAGUGAGACACGGUCCAGACUCCUACGGGAGGGAGCAGUAGGGAAUAGUGCUCAAUGGGGGAAACCCUGAAGGAGCAACGCGUCGUGGAGGAUGGUACUUGGCGGGGCGUAAACUCCUUUUAUUAGGGAAGCGGUACCUAACGAAUAAGCACCGGCUAACUCCGUGCCAGCAGCCGCGGUAAUUC